rnacentral:rRNA from 1 species
UACGUUCCCGGGCCUUGUAAACACCGCCCGUCAAGUCACGAAAGUUGGUAACACCCGAAGCCGGUGGCCUAACCCCUUGUGGGAGGGAGCUGUCGAAGGUGGGACUGGCGAUUGGGACU